UCUUUAAAGCUUUUCUAUAUGAAUGACUAGCUUCCUGUUGUGUGAGUUUGGAUAAUCUCUUUUUUAAAGUUUAGUAGUUUUCAAGAUCUCUAGGAAUAUAUGGACUGCCUUUAUGACUUCAUUGGUAUAGAGAACUUCCAGCGGAAUGCAGGUGGACCUCUCUACAUCUUAGUUCUAAAGAUGCCUGAGCAAUUGUGGAGGACUCUUCAUUAAGUCUAGUGUCACCCAGCUAUCAUGUACCAGAAACAAGACUUGAAAUCAGGUCUAACUCCAAGGAAUUGCUCUAAGGUUAAAUGACCUGCUCCCAAUCAUAGUUAUCAUCAAAGACAUGACUGACACCAGAUCUCAUCCAAGGCUGCCCCACACUAAACUUCUUUUCAGCAGAUGAGAACAGUUUUCUUCAUUCUGUUUUUCCUGAAUAAAACAGCAUAAGCAAACCAUU